CUUUGCUGCCUUGUUAUAAUAUGAUUAUUGUGUGUUUUAGAACUGCAACCUUCUUAUAAAAACUGUGGAAGAAACAGGUGGAAUACUCCGUGAAAUAAGAGACCUUGAAGACCAGUUGGAAAAUGAGAGUCACAAGAAAACAACGGCCAACUUAGAAAAGAUCCAGUCUGACUUCAACGAGAUGAAGAAAGAAAAUAGUACUCUGAUUGCAAAACUGAAAGGAAAAUGAUUUU